rnacentral:rRNA from 1 species
ACUGGGAUAACUUCGGGAACCGUAGCUAAUACCGGAUAAUAUUUUGAACCGCAUGGUUCAAAAGUGAAAGACGGUCUUGCUGUCACUUAUAGAUGGAUCCGCGCUGCAUUAGCUAGUUGGUAAGGUAACGGCUUACCAAGGCAACGAUGCAUAGCCCGACCUGAGAGGGUGAUCGGCCACACUGGAACUGAGACACGGUCCAGACUCCUACGGGAGGCAGCAGUAGGGAAUCUUCCGCAAUGGGCGAAAGCCUGACGGAGCAACGCCGCGUGAGUGAUGAAGGUCUUCGGAUCGUAAAACUCUGUUAUUAGGGAAGAACAUAUGUGUAAGUAACUGUGCACAUCUUGACGGUACCUAAUCAGAAAGCCACGGCUAACUACGUGCCAGCAGCCGCGGUAAUACGUAGGUGGCAAGCGUUAUCCGGAAUUAUUGGGCGUAAAGCGCGCGUAGGCGGUUUUUUAAGUCUGAUGUGAAAGCCCACGGCUCAACCGUGGAGGGUCAUUGGAAACUGGAAAACUUGAGUGCAGAAGAGGAAAGUGGAAUUCCAUGUGUAGCGGUGAAAUGCGCAGAGAUAUGGAGGAACACCAGUGGCGAAGGCGACUUUCUGGUCUGUAACUGACGCUGAUGUGCGAAAGCGUGGGGAUCAAACAGGAUUAGAUACCCUGGUAGUCCACGCCGUAAACGAUGAGUGCUAAGUGUUAGGGGGUUUCCGCCCCUUAGUGCUGCAGCUAACGCAUUAAGCACUCCGCCUGGGGAGUACGACCGCAAGGU